rnacentral:lncRNA from 1 species
UCAGAAAGAAAAGGAAAAAGUGAGCUUACUCAGCAGUGGAUCUCAGAGGCUGAAAACAUUCUAGGCCUAUAUAAGAUUGUACAGAGAUUAGAAGCUUCCAGAACUAGACCUAGUUUAGGAGAGGGAGGCAGUAAGCCUUGGAGACCACAAUUGCUACAGGAGAGUAAAAGCCUACCUUACCAAGAACGGCACCGUCCACAGUGAGCUGGGCUCUCUCAUAUCAGUCAUCAAUCAAGCAAAUGUCCCACUGACAAGCCCACAGGCCAAUCGGAUGGAGGCCGACCCUUGUUACAGGUUUCCUCUUUCCAGGACCUGACUCUAGAUUGCUGGCCGUUCUGUGGGACACGAAAAGGCCGAACAAGUGUGGAGUAGACGCCAAAGAUGGGUCUGAAUGAGAAACACCACGUAGAGCUGGAACAUUGGGAAGCUUUGACAGAAAAUCUUGCCCCCUUCACCAAGCUUUUGUGUGUUUCUCCUAACUGUGAUUGCCUCAGGAGAGCCUAGUCUCCCAUGAGACGCUUGCCUGCUGCCGUGCACUUCCUUGAACUGGAGUCUGCAGUGUCCCUGGCCUCCGGGAUUUCACCCUUUGUCCUUCUCAGUAUAAUCCAGGAAUCUGCACUAUUGUGCAGGCAUUUGUCUGUUUACUUUAAUGAAGGCGACCAGUGGUAUAAGAUGCUUUUUGGUCCA